rnacentral:lncRNA from 1 species
UCCAGACUGGGGAGAGAUGAACCUUCCAGAACACAGCACCAUCGUGGGCUCUGCUACCCAGCUCAAGGGUCUGUCAUGCCACAGAGAGAAGAACGGGAUGUAUUCUGAGGAAAGUAACAAAUGCCAGAGAGAAGAUCUGCAGGGGAAGCUGAGGAGAACUGCAUGUACCAGGGCUGGAGGAGGUCCUGGGGCUGGGUUGUCUACCAGUCCCAGAAGGCAGCAGCUGAAUGAAAGCACUGCUCAGUACUGUGGUUCAAACCAAUGAUUUCCUGAGGAUCCAAAUCAGUUCCUGCACGAUGAAGUUUUUUAAAUUAUAAAAGUAGAGAAUUAUACUACUUAUUGUUAAAAGAAAUUUAUUGUGUGGCCUGAAACAGGACAUUACCUAAGUUUGCAGUGGGUCCCAAGUUAUGAUUUCCCAAAGUGAGAAAGAACUUGUCAAUAACCCUUAAUGUGGUGUGAGCUUCUCUCUUUUUUUCUGCAAUAACUUUCAGCUCCCAGCUCUAAGGAAUCUUUGCAAUGUCAAUGUUUUCCAUUUUCUAGUGGUUCAGGCACACAUGGUGGUUAAAAGACUGGUAGGCCUACAAAAAAAAAAUCAGAAGUGAAAUUAUUAACUCUUUUGCUGCUGAUCAUUGAGAGGAAAUCAGUACAGAUUCCCUCAAGGGUAUUUUCAUUGCUGGGGACAAGUUUACAUAAUGAUGGGCUAUUUUCUGCCCCUUCAUCUGAUCCAGUUUCUGCCUGUAUGAUAGUGCAGAUAUUCAUCUUUUGAUGGUGAUGGGAGAAUCUAAUGGAACAGGACUGAAAGCGGGGAAGAAGCAGACAUCUAUCCACUUUCCCCAGUAAGAAAUAUGUAACAGCAUGUGUAAUUCAGCAGGUGCAUCAGUAACCUUGAAAAGCCACAAAACUGAAGCUAUGCACUAUUGUCCUUCAGGCAAGGGUGAAAUGGUGCCAAUAAUAAGACAGAGAAGCUGCCCCUGGCUUGGAAUUUUGAUGACGACAAGGAUCCAUCAGCCCUUUACUAUUCCUAUUUUCACAACACCAAGGGUGUGAUUUAGUAGGAAUCAAAUUAUUCCAGACACAAUUCAGGAGUGCUGGUUAGAGGCAAGGUCUUGAUUACUCUGUGUAGGAAAAUCAGUCAUUGCUUGGUCUUGGUGAAACUGAGCUUAACCUUCUGCAUUAAGCAUUCAAGCUCAGACAUGCAACUGAUUGGACACAAGUGUCAUUUCAUUCAGCUACUGUCAUCAGAUGCAAGACUUGGAUAGACAAUUAAAGCAGCUCCAUUUACAGCACUUCAGGAGCAUUCCUGCUUUUAUACAAAUGCUAUCCAGAAACCUUGCAGCUCUUAUGCACACAAGUAAUCCUGAUGAGUGAUCUUAUUGAGGAAUGCUAAUUCAGUCCCUGAAAAUAUCAGUGUAUACUUAUAAGAUUCACAGCUCUCAGAAGCUAGCUCCAAAUACAAAUU